rnacentral:rRNA from 1 species
UUAGUUAUGUUCUUGAAACUUAAAGAACUUGGCGGUAUCUUAUUCCAUCCAGAGGACUCUGUCUCGUUAUCGAUAGUCCGCGUUGGACCUUACUUAGUUGCUUUGGUUUGUAUACCGCCGUUUAUUGAUUAUCUUUUUAGGGUUUAUUUAAUUUUCUGGUUUCAUUAUUUUGAUUUAUUUCAGGUCAAGGUGCAGCUUGUUUCUAAGUGGAAUGAUGGAUUACAUUGUUAUUUGUUUAUUUGGAUUGUUGGUUUAAAUAUUAGCAUGAAAUUGGAUUUGGUUGUAAUGUUUUGUAGGUUGUUUUCAUGAUAUUUGGUUCUGGGAUAUGUACACAUCGCCCGUCGCUCUU